AACCACAAGAAGAACAUAAAGUACUCAGUCCGAUCAGCGUACCAAAUCAGCGUUAAUAAAUGGAAUCCUGAGAUUGAUGCCAAGGAAAAGCUGACAUUGCACAACGAUUGGGAAACCUCCCCUAGGAAUGUUUUUGUUUUGCAGGUUGAAGCAGGAGUUUUCAACGAAGAAUUUGUGACCUUUGGUUGCAUCAUUACGAACCAUGAUAAGGAAGUAAUCCUUGAUGCUAGUAGGAAAGAGAUCAUAUCAGUUGAACAUGUUGUGGCUGAAAUGCUUUCUAUCAUAUGGAGUCUGCUUCUUGUUAGUGCAAGAUGA